GUUCCCUGCGGCCCUGUGGCGGCGGCGGCGGUCGCUUCGUGCGGGUGUUGUUUUUUUUUUUUUAAAACUGCUUCCGUCGGGCUUUCGCCUUCGCACGCGGCUGCCGCGGGACAGCCUAGCCGUCGGCUCGCCGCCCUGCGGAGGUCGUGCGGCGGGUGCUGAAGGAUCCGGUCUGUCCGUCCGUCCGUCCGUCCCGGGCGGGACGGCGCCCGGCGCUGCAGGAGGUGACAAGUGGCGCGUGGCCCUCCUGGCCCUGCCUGCUGCUCCCCGGGGGCUCGGUACGAGGGCACCGCGGCUCCGUCGCUCCUCCGAGGGGUCGGGCUCGGUAAGAGCCCCUCUGUCCGCGGGUGCGGAGGAGAGGCACUUGGAGCCUGCGGUUAAAACACAAGAGUAGGCAAAAUGUUCAUAGAGGUGCCUUGAAACGACCUAUUACAAUUGCUAUCUGUGUUCCUGCUGGUUUUUCUUCAGCGAUCACAGGGACACUUCAAAAAUAUUUUAUGUCGUGGACCAGUCCAAUUAAAGUAAGCAAACCUCUCAUGACGGCAUCAGGCACCGGAAAAGUUCCAAAUUAGCACCCCACUGGCAGAAGUGGUUGCAGCAGAAAUUCCUUUCUAGCUGGCCUAGCAGCAUCCACCUAGCAAAAAAUGUGACUGGGACAAAUGCUGCUGUUCUUCUGCUGUUCUCCAGCAGUGAGUUGACCUGGCAGAAGGCAUAUGAUAUUAUACAUCAGCACAGAAAAAAUGCAUAAGAAUAUGAGAAAGUGGAGUAAGUGACUGGAAAGAUUAAAAAAAAAAUAAAAAAUAGUAGAGAUAAAAUGAGUCUUCUGGAAUCUCUGUAAUUUGAGCAUUUAGUGUCUGAAGAAAAAGUAGUACUCAAGAUUACUUGUUUUCUGAAUUUGAGUUAAGACUUUGAUAUGAUGUGCAACACUGGAAAAAGCUUUGGAAGACUUGUUUAUCAGCUAUUGAAAAUAAAAUACUUGGCCCCUGUGUCCUCUUA